AUGCCAUGAUGUGAGCAUUUCAUUAGUAAUUUCUUGUACCUCUACCAACCAUCAGGAACUACUUCAUCGUCUAGUUGUUUAAAAAGAUAAAUUUCAUUUUCUGAACUU